rnacentral:lncRNA from 1 species
CAACAUAGAUCUCAACAGUAGAUUGGAUGAGCUAUCCCAUAGAUUAGAUCAUCUAACAACCAUCAAACACUCUCCCUAUCUAUCCUAUCUUCUUGUACAAUAAGUUUGCGCAAUAUGUACGAGCCCCACUCAUUUUGUGAGUGAAUGUCUAGCCGUACAUCAAUUUUCUAAGUCUAUGUAUAAACAAGUUCAUUAAGAUCAAACCCACAUGGCCUAU